rnacentral:rRNA from 1 species
UGGGGGAUAUUGCACAAUGGGCGAAAGCCUGAUGCAGCGACGCCGCGUGGGGGAUGAAGGCUUUCGGGUUGUAAACCUCUUUCGCUAUCGAACAAGGCUCGCUUAGGGUGGGUUGAGGGCAGGUGGAGAAGAAGCGCCGGCUAUCUACGUGCCAGCAGCCGCGGUAAUACGUAGUGCGCGAGCGUUGUCCGGAAUUAUUGGGCGUAUAGGGCUUGUAGGCGGCUUGUUGCGCCUGCUGUGAAAACGCGGGGCUUAACUUCGCGCGUGCAGUGGGUACGGGCAGGCUUGAGUGUGGUAGGGGUGACUGGAAUUCCAGGUGUAGCGGAGGAAUGCGCAGAUAUCUGGAGGAACACCGAUGGCGAAGGCAGGUCACUGGGCCAUUACUGACGCUGAGGAGCGAAAGCAUGGGUAGCGAACAGG